rnacentral:tRNA from 1 species
GUAGAUGAGAGAUAGGACAACCCUGCAGUCCUUACUGCUAACGAGGUAAGGGGUUAAACCCUUCAGGAGUUCAAAUCUCCUCGUCUCCGCCA